rnacentral:rRNA from 1 species
AUUGAACGCUGGCGGAAUGCUUUACACAUGCAAGUCGAACGGCAGCACGGACUUCGGUCUGGUGGCGAGUGGCGAACGGGUGAGUAAUGUAUCGGAACGUGCCCAGUCGUGGGGGAUAACGUAGUGAAAAUUACGCUAAUACCGCAUACGAUCUAUGGAUGAAAGCGGGGGAUCGCAAGACCUCGCGCGAUUGGAGCGGCCGAUAUCAGAUUAGGUAGUUGGUGGGGUAAAGGCCCACCAAGCCAACGAUCUGUAGCUGGUCUGAGAGGACGACCAGCCACACUGGAACUGAGACACGGUCCAGACUCCUACGGGAGGCAGCAGUGGGGAAUUUUGGACAAUGGGCGAAAGCCUGACCCAGCCAUUCCGCGUGCAGGAUGAAGGCCCUCGGGUUGUAAACUGCUUUUGUACACAACGAAAAGGUUUCUACUAAUACUAGGAGCUCAUGACGGUACUGUAAGAAUAAGCACCGGCUAACUACGUGCCAGCCGCCGCGGUAA